GCAGUGAAAGCACAUCCUCCUGUCAGUCUCUUGAACAUGGCUCAGUCCCAGAAAUUCUCAUUGGUCUCCUCUACAAUGCCACAACUGGAAGGCUGUCCGCAGAAGUGAUAAAAGGCAGCCACUUCAAAAACCUGGCAGCCAACAGGCCACCCAAUACAUAUGUUAAAUUAACUCUACUGAAUUCCAUGGGUCAAGAGAUGUCCAAAUGCAAGACAUCCAUCCGCAGAGGGCAGCCAAAUCCAGUAUACAAGGAGACGUUUGUGUUUCAAGUGGCCCUGUUUCAGCUCUCUGAUGUGACUCUCAUACUGUCAGUGUAUAACAAACGCAGCAUGAAAAGGAAAGAGAUGAUAGGCUGGGUUUCUUUAGGCCUGAACAGCUCUGGAGAAGAGGAACUCAACCACUGGACUGAAAUGAAAGAGUCCAAAGGACAGCAGGUCUGCAGAUGGCAUGCGUUGCUAGAGUCGUGAUGAGCAGGAGGAAGGAGCAAGUACAGUUCAAGGCAGCAGCAUUUCUGAGUGCAACCUUACUGUUUUUACCUAGUCACCGUUAGAAGAGCUAUUCUUUGAAGAAUCAUCUUUAACAUUCUCCCCCAAAGCUUUAAGUUCUGUGGAACGAACGUCUAAUACUGACAUAAAUGAAGAAAAGAUGGGUCUCUAGCAGAACUUGUUUGAGAAAAUGAGAAACUUGCAUCCUCUUUGCUAAACUAGCAGUCCUCCAGAGCUUUCAGAGCAUCCUUUUGAUUUGAGGUUAAUUUUACUGUAGCAAAAGAGCCAGUAAUUUCAUGGAAAGUCAAGAUGAUAAAUGAUUUUGAAAAUCAGAAUUUUUAGCUGCAGCACUCUGUUAGUGUCACCCUACAUAUGAUCCACAAAACUGGCUCGUCUCUGGUGUGUGUAAUCUUCUUUAAUAUAAGAAAGUCAUCCUGCAUCAGUCAAGUCUAAUGGUGAAGGCUUUCAGUCACAUUGUAAAUUGUUUUAUUUCAGAUUAUUUUCCUUUUCAUUGUGCCUCAGUUCUUCUCAAUAGCACUAAAUCUAAGUGCAAGCAAGUAUUCAUUUUCAUAAGGGAAUUUUUUUAAUGUAUUAUUUUAAGAAAAGUUCACUUCUUCAAUUGCCUCUGAUUUUGCCUGAUCCAAAGAGACCAAGUCACUGUACUGGUCCUUUGCAAGUCUUCUAGACAGGUUGUACUGUAGAACCAUGUAACUUUCUGUUGAAAGCACUUCCUGUAUUCUUGUAUUCCAAUGUAGGAAGCUAAUAGAGCAGGACUUUACUUAAAAAUCUCUUUCAAUGAUUGACUGUUUAAAAUUGUAGUAAUGUGAAAGUAACAUUUUUUUUACAAACUAAAAAAAUAUAUAGUGAAUAAGCUGUUGAAAACUGAAAAUAAUUCAAGUUAAAGGAAAUUUUAAUCAUCUGCUCUGAGUGUUUAGUGACCAACACUGCAUAAAGCAGGUAGCGUUCAAAUAAGAAACAGUUCUCUCUUCUUCACUCUUCCUUCAGUUUGUAUUUGUGAUAUAAAGACUCUUCCGUUCUAAGUUUGAAUCAGAACAAUAUAAACAGUUCUGAGAUUCCUUAAAAUGUUUCUAGUAACUUGCGACUAGAUUUUAUGAAAUUUACAGAUAACGUUCUCCAACGUGAUGUCAUCCUGUGCCUUCCGUGUAAGUUAAAUUUGCUCAUACAGCUUGAAAGCUGUAUUUGCAAAAUUAGGCCUUCAAUUUUUAUAAAUGUAAAGAAUAGAUUCCUCAGAACAGUGUCACAAGAUCUUUAUUUCCUCUGAAGUAUGUAAAAGUUGUAUAAUGUGCUAAUUUUUUAAAAUGGCAAGGCAUUUGUUGUUUUUAUAUUUAGGAACUCUGAUUAUCAGGAAUAUUAUAAGCUGUUUUCUUUUUAAUUUUGCCUCUUACCCAAUAUAUAAUUUUAUGCACAUACUUUAUUAAAUAGAAUAUGUUUUGUAUAUAUGAAAAAUAUUUUUUUUCUCUUUAUAAUUUCCUAGUUAAAUUAGACAAAACAGACUAUUUACCAGUUAUUCAAAAGCAGUAUAUCAUUGUUCCUAGUCCCAACUAAGUACUAUGUAUUAUUGUAAGCUAGAACUUGUUAUUACCAUAAUAAAAAAAAUGCAUAGAUAUUAUUA